GAAGCAGUAGCAGAGCGCUCGCCUGAUAUGCGAGAAGGCUCGGGUUCGACUACCGGCUGCUUCG
rnacentral:tRNA from 1 species